CCUACGGGGGGCAGCAGUGAGGAAUAUUGGUCAAUGGGCGAGAGCCUGAACCAGCCAAGUCGCGUGAAGGAUGAAGGAUCUAUGGUUUGUAAACUUCUUUUAUAUGGGAAUAAAGUGAGGAACGUGUUCCUUUUUGUAUGUACCAUAUGAAUAAGCAUCGGCUAACUCCGUGCCAGCAGCCGCGGUAAUACGGAGGAGGCGAGCGUUAUCCGGAUUUAUUGGGUUUAAAGGGUGCGUAGGUGGUUAAUUAAGUCAGCGGUGAAAGUUUGUGGCUCAACCCUAAAAUUGCCGUUGAAACUGGUUGACUUGAGUAUAGGUGAGGUAGGCGGAAUGCGUGGUGUAGCGGUGAAAUGCAUAGAUAUCACGCAGAACUCCGAUUGCGAAGGCAGCUUACUAAACUACAACUGACAUUGAAGCACGAAAGCGUGGGGAGCAAACAGGAUUAGAUACCCUGGUAGUC
rnacentral:rRNA from 1 species